rnacentral:lncRNA from 1 species
AAAGAUAAGUUCUUUAUUCUUGAGCUAAAUAUAACUUUUUUAAUUUUCUUAAUUUGUUUAAUAUCUCAAUUUCUAUUUCUAUGUCAGUACGCCUACCUCAUCUCUACCAAACAUUAUUUUUGAAGUAACUCCACCAUGCAACUUAAUAAAAUUAAAGAUUAGCUACUAACCCUGUCAUGAAAUUAUUUAGAGUUGAGGUAGAGGUACGGACCUAGGAAAUAGAAAUUGAGACAGCCAAC